rnacentral:rRNA from 1 species
UCCAGACUCCUACGGGAGGCAGCAGUGAGGAAUAUUGGUCAAUGGGCGCGAGCCUGAACCAGCCAAGUCGCGUGAGGGAUGACGGUCCUACGGAUUGUAAACCUCUUUUGCCGGGGAGCAAGCGUGCGUUCGUGAACGCACGUCGAGAGUGCCCGGAGAAAAAGCAUCGGCUAACUCCGUGCCAGCAGCCGCGGUAAUACGGAGGAUGCGAGCGUUAUCCGGAUUUAUUGGGUUUAAAGGGUGCGUAGGCGGACUGGAAAGUCAGCGGUAAAAUCGAGAGGCUCAACCUCUUUCCGCCGUUGAAACUGUCGGUCUUGAGUGGGCGAGAAGUAUGCGGAAUGCGUGGUGUAGCGGUGAAAUGCAUAGAUAUCACGCAGAACUCCGAUUGCGAAGGCAGCAUACCGGCGCCCGACUGACGCUGAAGCACGAAAGCGUGGGGAUCGAACAGGAUUAGAUACCCUAGUAA